rnacentral:rRNA from 1 species
CAGCCGCCGCGGUAAUACGUAGGGUGCGAGCGUUAAUCGGAAUUACUGGGCGUAAAGCGUGCGCAGGCGGUUAUGCAAGACAGAUGUGAAAUUCCUGGGCUUAACCUGGGGGCUGCGUUUGAUACUUGGUUGCUUGAGUGGGGAAGAGGGUCGUGGAAUUCCCAGUGUAGAGGUGAAAUUCGUAGAUAUUGGGAAGAACACCGGUGGCGAAGGCGGCGACCUGGUCCUUUACUGACGCUGAGGCGCGAAAGCGUGGGGAGCAAACAGGAUUAGAUACCCCCGUAGUCCCUGUCUCUUAUAC